UGAAAAGUUGGGCAGCCGCGUGUGUAGCGUGUCAACGUUAGAAAGUUCAGCAGCACACAGAGGCCCUGCUGGCAGCGUACCGCAGCAGCGCCCUCGCCACCCGCUCUCUGGUCUCCUUCCAAGAGCUGUGUGUUCUGAGCGGCGGCGACGAGAGCGCGCUGUGCCUGGCACUGCUGCAGCUGCAGCGAGACAAGCGCGUGACGGUGACGCUGCACGAGGGAGACAAGGUGGUCAAGUUCUGCCAGCCGCGGCAGGAGCGGGUCUCCCCGGUGAACGAGGUGGACAUGGGGAUCUACCAGCUGCAGUGCAGUGAGAAGCUCCUGGAGCAGCGCGUGGAUCAGCUGAGUGUGGAGGCCCAACGGUGCAGAUCAGCUUCACGCCCUGAGGAGACCCGAUGUUGAGGGUCCGAGUGUCGGAGACAGUCGUCCCCAGCCGCACACACUGACUCCAGCUGGUCAGGUCCACAUGCUGACCUGCAUGUGGACACAGUACCCUCAGAAUCACUCAAGAAACUGUGACCCGCUCCAUGAUGUUUGCUCAAAAUAACCCAGGUUUGGUCCGUUCCUUAUACAGCAGCUCAAUAGAAAAGCUGCACACCUGCCUGGUGUAACACUAACGUGCUAUGGAAAAACCUCAAGCAAAUGACACUGGAUAUAGUAGUUGUUUUUCUAACCAGUGGUUCUAUUUGCUGGUUAAUAUCAUAUUUCAGGCUGCAGCGCACUUUGAAAUGUCGCUCCCUGAUGCUACUAAAAUAGUCUGAUGUAUCGCGCACCUCACUGUAACAGUAAAUAGUAACGCUAAAACAAUAUAUAACUUAAAAAAAACUACAAUUCACUGACAUUUCUCACCAAUUACACAUUGUAAUCCAUCUAUCAUAGUA